rnacentral:rRNA from 1 species
CCUACGGGCGGCAGCAGUGAGGAAUAUUGGUCAAUGGGCGGGAGCCUGAACGAGCCAAGUCGCGUGAGGGAAGACGGUCCUAUGGAUGGUAAACCCCUUUAGACGGGGAGCAAUGCCGCGCACGCGUGCCCGGAGGGAGAGUACCCGCAGAAUAAGCAUCGGCUAACUACGUGCCAGCAGCCGCGGUAAUACGUAGGUUGCGAGCGUUAGCCGGAUUUAUUGGGUUUAAAGGGUGCGUAGGCGGAUUUUUAAGUCAGCGGUAAAAUGUCGGGGCUCAACCCGGGCCGGCCGUUGAAACUGGGGAUCUUGAGUGGGCGAGAAGUAUGCGGAAUGCGGGGUGUAGCGGUGAAAUGCGUAGAUAUCACGAAGAACUCCGAUUGCGAAGGCAGCAUACCGGCGCCCGACUGACGCUGAGGCACGAAAGCGUGGGGAUCGAACAGGAUUAGAUACCCUAGUAGUC